GGCAAGUUGUUUUUAGUCCCACCUCGCCAAGAGAGAGGCAGUAUGAGCGGUUUAUAAGCCGUGAGUGCACAGACAAUGACGAAGAGUUGCAAUGCUCAUCUACAUGUUGAUUAGCUUCAAACCUUGCGUAAUAGCAUAGAUUGCACUAAGCUAUGUGCAGUGCAAUCUACACUAUUCCGAAUGGCUUGAAGCAAAUUAACCAGCAUUGCACCUCUGUUACAUGGCCACUUCAAUGUUUUUUAAACUUAUUUGAACUCCGGACUUCUUUUGUGUUCAGUAUGCAGCAUUUAAAGCGACGUCAUCAAUUUCCAACAUGUUCUGACAUCAUUUGUUGUUUUUCGGUCAUUUACCUAAUUGUUUAGAGAGCUAAAUGACCGUGAAAUUGAAAAUCACUACAAAAUGAAUCCUGAAAAUGUUGAAACUUGGCAUGGUAUCAUCGUAUCACCCGCAUAGCAUGCGCGAAAGAGUAGAGAGGGUCACGGCAAAAACUGGACGCACUUCGUGUACAAACUGGACAAACUCUUUCCGAGUAUCAGGGUUUCGGACGAGAACUCAUCUGUUACAUGGCCACUUCAAUGUUUUUUAAACUUAUUUGAACUCCAGACUUCUUUUGUGUUCAGUAUGCAGCAUUUAAAGCGACGUCAUCAAUUUCCAACAUGUUCUGGCAUCAUUUUUUCGGUCAUUUACCUAAUUGUUUAGAGAGCUAAAUGACCGUGAAAUUGAAAAUCACUACAAAAUGAAUCCUGAAAAUGUUGAAACUUGGCAUGGUAUCAUCGUAUCACCCGCAUAGCAUGCGCGAAAGAGUAGAGAGGGUCACGGCAAAUAAAUAAUGCAGAAAAGAAAAAAACUAUAUAAAAAACUACUCAAAAAU
rnacentral:lncRNA from 1 species